rnacentral:misc_RNA from 1 species
CACGUUCUUAUCUUUCAUGCUAGGCUGUUCUCCUCCUCACUAACAAACUCUCCACGUACUCCAAAUUUUAGAAAUGAUACAGAGAUAGAGGCCGCGCGAACGCAGGCCCCCCCUACCACAAAUUAUGACGUAGGCUCUCCCUCUCCCACUUGGGGAGACCUUAGACCAGCACCCCUCCCAUGUGCAAUGGAGGUCACUCAUCUAGACCAUGAGCCCUCUUGAUCGCCCAUAGAUCCCG